CUUUGAUGUUAAGGAUGAGGUGUUGGCUUUUACAAUGAUGAUUUGUUCUGCAAUGGACUGGACUGCAGGGUGAAUCUUUACUGAAGCAAAUGAAUUCAUGUGAUGAUUUCAUGAAAAACCCAUGUAGCCAAAACUCCAUUGGAUCCCUUCUCAGGAUUUAACCUGUCAGGCUCAGUUUAGUGUGCGCUAAAGUGAUGUCAGCUCCUUUUACAGCCCAGGAAUCACCUCUUGCUGGAAACAGGAAAAUUGGCUGCUGACCUUGUCAGAUCUCAGAAGGUCUUUGAGCACUGAAAUAGUUGGUGUGGAUACUUAUUAUAGAAGCAGAACUGGACAGUAGCUCAUGCGUCAUUGCUUCAAGCUAUUUGCCCAGACAGAGGAAUCCAGCUCUUGCAGAUACUGAAACUGAUGGCAAUAGAUAACAAAUCUGGUGUCAGACUGAACAAAACCUAGGUAGCAUGACCAGAUGACUCUUGUUUUUUAGUCAGAGACUUGUCAAUUGCUUCAACAGAGUUAUGGACCAGCAAUGUCAUUUUUUCCUCCCGCAACACAACAUGGAACAUCAAAACUCAGUCUACAAAGUUAACAACACCCCUUCAACCCACAUUGGUGCUCAUGUUGUGUGGCUGUAAGUGCUCCUCUAAUGGUAGUGGAAAGGAUGGUGAAGACUAUGCUGCUGCGUUGAGUUUCAUUGUUUGUUGGCUCUUUAAUGGGAAGCUUUGUUGUGGGCUGAGAAUUGUACAAGUUGGCUACUGGGUGAUGACUUGGUGGAUCUUGGCCAAGCUACUUGGAUGCAAUUGCUAAACAGAACAUCCUGAAGUUAUCUUUGCAUCCGGGUGACAGGUGGUAAAAGAGCAUUUGGAUUUGCUGUUAUAGUUACACUUAGACACUCCAUUAGCACAGAUAGAGUCAGUAGCAGCACAAAUGAGUCCUCUGGAACAGAAUUGUUUGUAUCUGUUCUGAGGCAAAAUGAGC
ensembl:lncRNA